UUCGGAUUGUAGUCUGCAACUCGACUACAUGAAGCUGGAAUCGCUAGUAAUCGCGGAUCAGAAUGCCGCGGUGAAUACGUUCCCGGGUCUUGUACACACCGCCCGUCACACCAUGGGAGUCGAUAACGCCCGAAGUCAGUGACCCAACCUGUAAGGAGGGAGCUGCCGAAGGCGGGAUUGAUAACUGGGGUGAAGUCGUAACAAGGUACC
rnacentral:rRNA from 1 species